rnacentral:rRNA from 1 species
AACGCGAAGAACCUUACCAGGUCUUGACAUCCUUUGACCACUCUAGAGAUAGAGCUUUCCCUUCGGGGACAAAGUGACAGGUGGUGCAUGGUUGUCGUCAGCUCGUGUCGUGAGAUGUUGGGUUAAGUCCCGCAACGAGCGCAACCCUUAUUGUUAGUUGCCAUCAUUUAGUUGGGCACUCUAGCGAGACUGCCGGUGACAAACCGGAGGAAGGUGGGGAUGACGUCAAAUCAUCAUGCCCCUUAUGACCUGGGCUACACACGUGCUACAAUGGACGGUACAAUGAGUCGCAAGACCGCGAGGUUUAGCUAAUCUCUUAAAGCCGUUCUCAGUUCGGAUUGUAGGCUGCAACUCGCCUACAUGAAGCCGGAAUCGCUAGUAAUCGUGGAUCAGCACGCCACGGUGAAUACGUUCCCGGGUCUUGUACACACCG